GCUGAGGGUGGUAAGGGUGGGGAAGCUUUCCAAGGCGCACUCCUAUCUCGCUGGCUCAGGAGCCACAAAGUUCUCUCUGGUGGCGCCGGGGGGCGAUGUGGAGCAUCUCAUAGCGCGCCUACGCCCCCGAGGCUCAUGGGCGUUGUAGUUCCCAGGGCUGCGAGCUGUGCUGGCACGUAUCGUGGGAAGGCGAGGCCAGGUCCGGAGGGACGGUCCAGGCCUUCUUGAAGCAGAGGCAGCGGCCCCGGCGUGGAUGACUCCGGAACGUCUUGGCCCCGAACCAUCUGGAGUCCAGUCCGACCCGCCGGGCGGGUCUGGCGACAGAUCUGGCGGCCUUAUGUCGCAGCUGGAGAUAACAGAAUUUACAUGGGAGUCUUGAUUUGCAGAUAACAGAAUUUACAUGGGCUGGUUGGAAAAGAGGGGAUUUGUGUCAAGGUGGUAGGCAGCUUACAGAAUUGUGGAGUGGGCUGGAGAAAUGGAUCCUAAGCCAUAGGUCUGAUCUGACCUGAUAAGAAAACUGCUUCUACCGCCACUGCCACCAGACACUAAAUGCCAGGACUUAGACUUGUCUGCAACAGCAACUGCUCAUGGUCCUGAAGCUACUUCUACAUCAAGAAAGUGAUCUUUGGGACUUCCUGGUGGCCCAGUGGUUAAGAAUCUGACUUCCAGUGCAGGGGACUUGAGUUCAGUCCCUGGUUGGGGAACUAAGAUCCUACAUGCCGCAGGGCAACUGGGCCCAUGUGCUACAACUACUGAGCCAGUGGAGUGCUCUGGAACCUGUAAGCCACAACAAGGAUCCCACGUGCCACAACUAAGACCCGACACAGCCAUAAAUGAAUAAAUACUUUAAAAAGAAGAAGGAGACACCGAGGAGACAGACCACCUUCUGACUCUGGGAGUUGUUGUUCAGGAUGGGAAGCCUGGAACUACCAUGCCCAUGAUGCUCCCCAUCCAUGGUGAAGCCAAAAUCCAGAAGUGGGCAAAGGGAAGAGGAUCUUAGAAGCCUGGACUCUACAUAGUGUGAGAUGCCAAGUGUCUUUAUUGUUUAAGCCAGAUGGUGUCAGAGUUGUCUGUUACUUGCAACCAAAUAUACCCUAACAGAUAAGUCUGCCUUACAGCACUUGGAUGUAUUUCUUGGUGUCACUUGUCUGAGACUAAGUGACUUGAGUAGGGUGAGAACUGGGCUUCUUUUAUUUCCAUAUACUCUGUGCCUGGCCACAGCAGGCCUGUGUGAAUGUCUGCAGUUGACCUGUUCAUGAGCCUUCCAAAUUGAAGGGUGCUAUGAACCUAACAUAUCCCAAACAGGACACUCUGUUUCUCCCACACUCUCCUUACACAUCUGAAUAAAUGGCACCACCUUUGUCCUUUCCACCCAUCCCCACAUCUAUCCAUUACCCAGUCCCACUGGCUCUCUCUCCAAAAUAAAUCUCAAUGUGACCGCUUCUCUCUCUCCACUGUCAACACUGUGGUUCAAACUGGGAUCAUCUCUUGCCUAAGUUACCUCAUGACCUCUCCAGUGGGUCCUCCAACUUCUGUCCUUAUUCCCAAUAUCUGUCAAAUCCAUCUUCCACACAACCAGAUCAGUCUUUAAAAUGUGAAUCGGAAAUGAAUCCUCCCUCAAUGACUCCUUAGUACACAUGGAAUAAAAUCCAGCCUCCGACUUUAAAUGGAUGAAUUGUAUGGCACGUAAUUUAUAUCUCAGUAAACCUAUUAUUAAAAAAAAAAAAAAAUCCGAUGUCCUCCCUGUGGCCUGUGAUCUGGCAUGGGCAUGAUCUAGCCCCUGCCCACCUCUCUGAUCCCCAUCUGGUACUUUCCUCUCACUCUCUCCAGCCACACUGGGCAUCCUUCUGUUCCACAAACACCCCACGAUUGCUUUUACCUCAGGGUCUUUGCAGAUGUGCUUCUGUCUUCCUGGAAUGUUCUUCCCUGGAGCUUUCCCCAUGGCUUGUUCCUUCUCAUCCUCCAACCUCACAUGUCACCUCUUCAGACACCCUCUUACCAAUAGCCUGCUUAUUUUCUUCAGAGCACCUAAAUAUCCAAAAUUAUCUUAGUAGUUUGCUUGUUUGUUGGGUUUUGUUUUUUGUUAUUUUUUUCUCUCUCACCAGCUCAUGACACUAAGAGCUUAUUUUUCAUUUUAGGAAUAGUGCCUAACACUUAGGGCAAGAAACAUUUGUUGAAGGAAGAAUUUGCUGAAUCCUUUCAGUUGAUCAUUCAGUGAAGCAUUGUGUUGGGCUUAAGUUUUCCAGUGUUUUUCAGUGGAAAGCAAAUUUUGUAUUCACAUUCAUCUAAAAAAUACAAGUGAGUCACUGUAACUUCGGGGGCCUCUGCUUUAUAAAAUGGGGGUGAGUGAAGAGGUUAAACUUUA